AAAAAAACUUAUUAGUACUAUUAUAUCAGUACUAUUAUUAUUUUAUACUAAAUAAAAGAAUAGUAAAUAAUUAGUAUUUACUUUACUACUCCAGGUUUAUUGUGUUAUUGUGGUCAAUUCAUCACUGGAUGUAAUCCCAGAAAAAAGAUUUGUCUUCAUAAUCUUUCAUCAACCCCUCUCCAGCCACAUUGCUCCAUUCUGUUUAGGUUGGUGUUGAUGGAAUUUGUAAGUUCUACAGGAUGCAUUGCAGACCAAUGCUAAAAGGACACCUGCACGCCUUGUGGCACGGGGCAGAAAAUGGACCUGUUUUAUUUUCUUACCUCCCUUUGUCCCUGGUUUCCUCUUCUUCCUUCAUUCCCCAAGAAGGUUACAUUUUUUCUUCUAUUUAUCUAUUGUAUAGAUUUUUCCACCAUCUUCUGUUCAGACAAAAUGCCGCCCACUAAGAAACCGUGGCGUAAACAUAAUUUCAUAGCUUAGCCUGAAGGCGGGAAGGAGGCGAGCGAGGAGAGACAGAGAGGGCGGUGCACUCGCAGACACACAAAAUCAAUGCUGAUCAAUGUUUUAUAUCACCAAGAUGCUUGUCCUCUCGACCUGCCCCAGCUGGAAAAAAACCCCCACCUCCCAAUCACCUCUUCUACAAGUCCCUCUGGUGUUUUACCCAGAGUUCAAUAUCCAACUCCACCCUCCAUCAAGAGUGAGAAAAGAGGACAACAAUAAGGAGAAAUUGAGGACACUCAACAGGCAUGUAAAAGGUUAAAGCCAAUGGGUGGAACUCGCAUGCUGAUGGAAUGACGGUUGUCAGGCGGAUUAAAACUAAAGAUGAACCAUGUGGGAGUUUCCUCCAAAGAGCCUGUGGAUAAAUCUCAUUAGCAUACCUGCUCUGAGGACGGCUGUAAAUUUAACGAAUGACGUUCUGGAGAGGAUGAGUGCUUCUGCAUCGUCUUUGAAGUUUGGGAGCCUCAGUUCCAGUGGAGACUAAUUGCAUGGAGAAGAGCAGUAAAGUGCUUUGAAAAAAUUCAUACAGGUUUGGAGUGUUAUGCGGGGAUGCAGGCCUGCUGCAGUUCUCUCCCUUUUCACUCUCACUGAAGCCCCAGACAGAAGCUCCCUGGAGACCUUCCCUUCUUGUUUAAACCUGACACAAAUUCCACGUCACAGUACCCAGAGUGACGACGCUUGCAGGCACAAAAGCAAAUAUUUCCUUUCCUGGUUGUACCCAACCACCUCUACACGUCCCCACCGACACCUGACCCCUCCCUUUCCUCACCAGUUCCAGCACUGCAGGCCGGCCAUUUGUCACAAACCAUGCCCAGAUCAGCAUGCAAAGAGCCAGCUAAGACUCUGGAAGCCCAAGUGCUGGCAGAUAUUAAGACUGGGAUCGAUUUCAUGGAACAUCACCUUG
ensembl:lncRNA